rnacentral:rRNA from 1 species
GACGAACGCUGGCGGCGUGCUUAACACAUGCAAGUCGAACGGAAAGGCCUGCUUUCCCUUGUGGGUUGCGGGUACUCGAGUGGCGAACGGGUGAGUAACACGUGAGUGAUCUGCCCCCAACUUGGGUAUAAGCCUGGGAAACUGGGUCUAAUUCCCGAUAGGACUGCAGGGUGGUGCCGGUGGUGGAAAACGAUGUUCUAGUGGUUGGGGAUGAGCUGGCGGCCUAUCAGCUUGUUGGUGGGGGAAUGGCCGACCAAGGGGGGGACGGGUAGCCGGCCGGGGGUGGCGGGCGUGCAAAUGGGGACUGAGACACUGCCCAGACGCCUACGGGCGGCAGCAGUGGGGAAGAAGGAACAGUGAGCGGAAGCCUGAUGCAGCGAGGCCGCGUGGGGGAUGCCGGCCUUCGGGUGGUAACCUCCUUUCGGCAGCGAGGAAGCCACCUGGUUGGAAGGGUGGUGACGGUAGUGGGAGAAGAAGCACCGGCUAACUACGUG